rfam:Oryza rufipogon genomic scaffold, chr03
AAAAAGACAAACCCUGAGUUUCCGUGUCCAACUCUGACUGUCCGUCUUAUAUAAAAUUUUUUUAUAAUUCGUAUUUUCAUUGUUGUUAGAUGAUAAAACAUAAUGAAUAUUUUAUGCGUGACUUGUCUUUUUAAUUUUUUCGUAAUUUUUUUAAAUAAGACGGACGGUCAAACGUUAGGCACGGAAAUUAGGGUUUGUCCUUUUU